CAUUCUUCUUUCACAACCCUAAAGAAACAUAGUUGAAGAAACCAUAGAUCGGCCGCCCAAGAAACAUAGCUAAUAUUGUGUCCUUCCGUUCUUCGCCAAUUGAUAAAAGGAAUCUUCACACCCCACACGUAUUUCCUAAACCCUAGCUAUCAAAAUCAUCUUCCUUCUUCUUGAUUAUUCUGCGAUCCAUAUGCAAUCAGGUGUCACUUGUGCUUGAAUCGGCUGAUAGAAGAUGAUUCCAAAAUCAAAUUGAUAGAUGGUGAUGGUGGUGGCCUAAAGAGAACGAUGACAGCGGCAUGGGUUGAUUUAGGGUUUCCCCAAUGGUGGUCUUAUAAUGGUUUUGGUUUAACGCAACGAUGAAAGGGCGGCGGCUAGGGUUCCACCAGCACAUAAAUUGGUAUCUUUCGAUUUUAUUUUUAAACUUCUUAUUCAGAUUUUAUUUUUGUUUUUUAUUUGUUUUUGGUAAACUAUUUAUUUUUCAAGUUUUUGUUAUCGGGUAAGUUGAAUUGUAUAUAUAUUUAUAACGUUUUCUCAAAUUACUCAAUUGGUUCUUUGGGAUAUGGCGUUGAAUUUCAAACGGUGAGAGAAAGAUCCGUUCUUUUCUGCUGCAGAAGAAGUCCAGGAAUCUACCUGCAGUAUGGAAUCUACAUUACAGAACAUUGAUUCUUGCAUUGAAUGAACCUUAUGUUUGGAAGACAGAAGAACUUCGAAGGGAUUUACAAAUCGCCCUCGGCACCGCUAAAUGGCAGUUUGCUUUCUCAGAUUGUAUAUUUAAAGGCCACUUUAGCACGGAAGGAAGGGGAACAUUAAAGUGUUCAGGAUCAGAGGAAGUUAAUAGGAGAAAAAGGAAACAAUGAGUAAUGGCAGUGAUGCUUCAUUUGGCUACCCUGGAUGCCUAAUACUAUACAAGACUUUCAACAUUGGGAUAGAUUUGGACAGCCGUGUAACAAGCUUCCAAGGAAAACGAUGAAGCACCGAAUCAACCCGAGGAAGCAAUGAAUAUUGAGGUGGAUGAUUCUGUUGUAAAGCAAGAGGAAGAAGAACGUGAGUCAGCCGAGGUUGCAAUGAAAGAGGGUGAUGCAUCUUGUGAGGUUGAAGAUGCAAGGGGGUCUAUCAAUGAUGAGAAGAAUGGUGGUGAUGAUCCACUGGUGUUAUCUGAUUUGUCAACUGCUGACGUGCCAGUGAUGCCAAAAAAAUAUAUAAAUUAUAAUGGAUGUAUCAAGUUUGAAAAGUUAUAUGAACCAAGGGGUUUUUUUUCAAAAAUGAAAUCACAAAGGACAAAUUUUUGUAUAGUGCGUGCAAAUUGGGUUGACAAUCUAAUUCAGUUUUCAUCUUAUAACAUACCUUGUGCUUAAGUAAUAUUUGGCAUCUUAUAUAGUUUGUAAAUAUAAAAUGCAGGUUUACGGGGCGUUCCAUUAUCUUGGAGAGAUUCUAUCCCUAGGGAUGUUACGGUCCCGUUUUGAGUCGUUACCUGGAGCAUUUAAUGGUUGCUUGAUUCCACCGAGAAAAGUGAUCCAGUGAAAAAGAAAGGACUUAAGGCUACCUAGUCUCGUAAUUACGAUGCAGUAAGUUUAUAAUUUCCUAAGAUGAAUUUAGACGAUAUCUUCUAUAAACAUAUUUACUGGAACUUACAGUUUAGUACCGUACAUACCAAAUGUAACAUAAUGGAUAAAUUAUGAUUAUUUGCCAUAUAUUGAGGCUAUGCUUCUCAUUAUUGUUGUAGAUUUCUUAUUCCAAAGUAUGCAUAACCCCAGUUUGAAAUGUAGUCUUCUUUGUCUCAAAGUAUGCAUAACCCCAGUUUGUCCAAUAAUGUGGAAUUGUCAUUCUUCAUCAUCUGGCCAUGACUAUCUCAACUGGAAAUUUAAUGAAUGGACAUGAGGUUAAUAGCUGAAUUAAGUUAUGUACGGACAAGAGAAAGUUUGGAGGACCUUUCAAGCCAUCGGUGACAAUGCUUUUGCUUAUGCUUAUUCUACUGUUCUUAUUGAGAUCCAGGGGGUGUAAUAUUCAAACUACCUUACUUGUGUUAGAAGAUGGUCAAGAGCGAUUCACAAGCCUUUAGUCCAAGUGGUAACAAACAUGUAUAAUUCCCAAGUUGUAUACAUAACCAAUAUUUGUGUUUUCCUUGAUGUUUUUGUACACGGCUUAUAAAGAACUUUGUGACUAUUUUAUGUAAUGUCACUUUAUUUGCAUUACUUUUAUCGAUACACUUAUGAUUAAUGUAA